CUUCUGAACAGAUGUUCACCCUCACUAAUUAAAAAUGAGAAGGGUAAAAAACUCUAUCAGACUUGCAGUAAUACCCAGUGUUGGUGAAAUGGUGAGAAGCACUCACCAACACUAUACUAGGGGAAGUGUAUACUGGUAUAGCCUUUGUGGAAAGCAAUUUAAUCUGGCAGUACCAUUAGAAAUUUAUAGACUUCUAGAAAUUUAUCCUGCAGAAACCCAAGAGAUACAAAGUUAAGAACAGAAUAUUCUCGGUGAUA
rnacentral:lncRNA from 10 species